GGUAACACUGCACCCUUCCUCUCCUCCACGCCUCCUGGCUCAUCAGCUCUGUUUGUCCCCUGGCUUUUCUUCUCUCCCCGUCCCUCUCCACUUGAAUUUUAAUCAGAAGCAGCAGCUGAGCAGAAGGUGCCAUUUCCAUAGCUACGGAAGAGGCAUCGACAGCAAGAGGUGAUGGAGAGGCUUUUACCCAGAUGCAGUUGUCAUUAACAUUCACCAUAAUAACCUCGCCUGCAAGCACAGCCCUACUAUGGCAAUGAGACGCCGGGGCUGUAAAUCCUUGCUCGGGCUCAUCUUUCAUCACAGAGAACACUACCUUUUGGGGUCAGAUUUUUAAUCUGCCAAUUAAUCACUUUUAUCCAUGGCGAUGUUUACGUGCACGCAGAAACCUCUUCAAACCGCGUAGGGCUACGGCUGUGGUCACCUUGGCUCAGGCACGCGUGGCCAGGAAUUGCCUUUUCUGAGGUUUUGUGCACACACACAGGCACACGCAGCACCUACCAUCCUUACCACGCUCCUCCCAUUCGGCUGCUUUGUGCCUCUUGAAGCAACACUUCUUAGCACAGGCAGGCUCGCUGUGUUUCUGGCUGAACCACCGAGUUAUUUUGGGAUGCUGCUUCCAACCUUUCCCCUCCAUUGUUUCUGUUUGUGCGUGGCUUGCGUUUUCCGUCUUUCCUGCUCAAAAGCACAGCCUAAGCCAGAAAUAUUCCCUCCCUCCAAGAUCUUCACAAAACCAAAACGUUGUUUGGGAGAAAGCAACCCCUGUCCUGACACAGUGUGCCUCAAGUCCCUGACGGUUUGGGUUUCAUUUCAGGUACAAACCCUGAGCAGCAGCCAAAAUGAGAGGCUGUAGGGUGUGUGGCAUCCUUUGGGACGCACAUCCCAUGGGGACGGGGUCUGGCGUUAGGUGGGAAGCCUCCGCAGCGCUGGUUGUGCCUGUGGCAGUGGAAAUCUUCACUGCAGAGACCCAGCAGUGGCCCUGCCCUGGCCACUUGGAGAUUUCGGUCCAAGCUUCCCACGCAGCAGCGCAGGGCUCCAGCCGUGCUCAGAUUCGGGGGAAGACCACCAAGGGGGUUGUCCUUGUGGAUGCAUGGAUGCAGCAACCGAUGGUGUGAGCAGCUGGCCGUGACGUUGGCUGGUUCUGAGACCUUCCCACGAGGGAGCUCUCCAUCCCAGCAGCUCUGCGACACUGUAAAACCCAACCACUACCACUGGAAGUGUCACUGGCGUUUUUCCAGCCAGCUCUCACACUCCCCAUUCAGUUAGCUGUGUGUGGCUUCCAUUUGAGGCCCUACUUUCCCUCCCCGCCUCCAUCGCCGUUACGAGGGUUCGAGUAGAAACACAUUGGAGGGCUGAGGACUGUGCCAAUAGUUUUAGCUUCUUUUGCGUGCCUUUCAUCAGUGAUCUCUGCUUAACCACACAAGGUAGAGCCAGGAGCUUUCAGGCAAAUGUGUCUGCUUUGCCAAACGCUGCCUUAAGGAAAAAGCUUCCCUGAGAAGAGGCUUGGUCUCUCUCUCCUCAAAAGGAAACUACACCACGGACCAUCAAUUCCUCUUCACUAUCAUCACCUUCCAAGGAACUGUGGAGCCUUACCUUCAGCUCUGCUACUGUAUAGCUCACUCCUACACAGGACUAUCAUCAGCCUACGUUAGCAGGGAUCUGAGAGCCCAGGCUGCUUUUAUCUGUUGAAGGCACCAGCCAAGGUACGCGGUUACACACAACACGUAUCGCCUCGAGACACAGAUGCACCUAGUGAAACAACAACAUUUUGUCUUUAUUAGGAGUUCCCAUGGUAAUAUAACACAGAGUUCUUAAGGAAUAAAACACAAGACUUGGGGUUGGGGUCGUUUUUUUUUUGCCAUUGAGACAAUGGGCAAAUAUCAGUACUUCUUUUUGUCUACACACAUGAUCAGCUUUAGCACUUACAGCUCCUCCACUCAUGGUUCACAAUCACAAAUCCAAGGGUUAAAUCCAGCUAGUAUUAAAUCCUACUUCUUUUUUUUUUAUUUUUAGAGCUUCAAGUCACUGCGGUUAAUUAAUUAAGUCAUCGUCUUUUUUCUUUAAGCAUUUACAUAUGACAUUCAUUAAACAGACACAAAGCGGACGAGCUCUCACAGGAAAAAACAUGCUUACAUAGCCUGCAAAAAUCUUUUUUUGUGAUUUUUUUUUCCUUUUGAAGAACAAAUUAAAACUAAAAAGUCAUCAUGAGUCAGUGAAGGAAAAAAAAGGAAGACUUAAGUGAAUACUGAAGAGCCGCAAGUGUUUCGUAGAAUUGAAACGGAUCUGCAUUUCUUUUUUUUUCUCCCCAACUCGUUCAAAUUGAUUUU
rnacentral:lncRNA from 1 species